rnacentral:tRNA from 1 species
GCUUCCGUAGCCAAGUGGUAAGGCCAGUGACUGCAACUCACUUACCGUCGGUUCAAAUCCGGCCGGAAGCUCCA